rnacentral:rRNA from 1 species
UACGUAGGGUGCAAGCGUUAAUCGGAAUUACUGGGCGUAAAGCGUGCGCAGGCGGUGAUGUAAGACAGUUGUGAAAUCCCCGGGCUCAACCUGGGAACUGCAUCUGUGACUGCAUUGCUGGAGUGCGGCAGAGGGGGAUGGAAUUCCGCGUGUAGCAGUGAAAUGCGUAGAUAUCAGGAGGAACACCGGAGGCGAAGGCGGCUAUCUGGCGAAACACUGACGCUGAGGUGCGAAAGCGUGGGGAUCAAACAGG